UUGCUUUGGCAGCAUGUAUACUGGAAUUGGAAUGAUACAGAGAAGACUAGUGUGACAUUGCACAAAGAUGACAUGCAAAUUCAUGAAGCAGUUCAUAUUAAU
ensembl:snRNA U6 U6 spliceosomal RNA